UCGACUGUACUUACAAGGAUCUUGUAUACAGUUUAUUUCUUUGCCUUUGUUUCCGAACAAAGUCACCUAAAACAGGCUGGACGAUGAAUCAUACUGCACUGUCCGUAAAGGGAAGUGUGGGGCUCUAAUCUUGGUUUUAUCUGGUGAAAUUUAUUUCUCUUGGUACUUGUGUCAGAUUUGGCCUCGUUGAUGAUCUUGCUAUGUCGGAAUUAUUUCUGGCUCUGCGAGGACGGAUGCAGAUUCUGACAGUCU
rfam:Smittium culicis strain GSMNP scaffold-540, whole genome shotgun sequence.